GCUUGAAGCUUUAUUUGUUUAAAGUGGUGCAAGGAAGUAACAACUCAUAUAUAGUUCUUCAACUGUUAACAAAAUUUUGAAUUUUUUGAAAUACUAAGGAGUCUUUUGUAGACGAAACACGCGUCUGGCGUAUAUACAAAAUUUAGUCAUGGUAUCUAUGAUGAGUUUAUUGCUAAGGUAAAACUAGAAAAUCGCAUCAGACACAUAAAGUUUGUAACUUGUUGUCAUGUCCCAUACAUGGGGAACCUUCCUGUUAUUUCUGAAUAGUUUGGUUCACCAGUUCUGAGUAAAUUUUCAGUUCCAAAAAAAAUCUUCAGACUUGUUUACUGUGGAGGAUCACUUUGUC
rnacentral:lncRNA from 1 species